GAUGAACGCUGGCGGCGUGCCUAAUACAUGCAAGUCGAGCGAAGCGGGGACGGGUGAGUAACACGUAUCUAACCUCCUAUAUAGCUGGGAUAACUUAGUGCAACCGGAGCUAAACCGGAUCCUUAUCGGUGGUUCCGCUCUGCAUUAGCUAGUUGGUAGGGUAACGGGUUACCAAGGCAACGAUGCAUAGCAGACCUGAGAGGGGGAUCGGCCACACUGGAACUGAGACACGGUCCAGACUCCUACGGGAGGCAGCAGUAGGGAAUCUUCCGCAAUGGGCGAAAGCCUGACGGAGCAACGCCGCGUGAAUGAUGAAGGUCUUCGGAUUGUAAAACUCUGUUAUUAGGGAAGCGGUACCUAAUCAGAAAGCCACGGCUAACUACGUGCCAGCAGCCGCGGUAAUUC
rnacentral:rRNA from 1 species